GAUAUGGAAACUGAGGCACCGUGAGGCUCAUUCUGUUGAGUCCACGCUCUAUAGAUCUGUCUGCUCACAUUAAUUGGCGAUGCUCAUUCGUCUGAGGGAUUGAGGCUAUGACCCCUACCUUAAAUACUCAUGACAAAAGAAUAGACACCAGCUCACCAAGAGUAAGAUAAAGAAACUGAAGCACUGAGAGGCUAAGUUGCGUGAAGUCAUGCAGCUGGCAUUGGCGCUUGGACAUGUCCACUUGAGAUCCUUCCUUGGUCACCAGCAGUCUAUGCUGCUGGACAUCGCUGUCUGCCCACCAGGCCCUGUUGCCUGCCUUUAAGCGGUCCUAGCCACACCACCCCCAGCCUGGCCUCUCCCGUCCCACAGAGACGGCUUCAUCCUGCUGGCCUGCAGACUCUCCUGCCUGUGCAUCCGAGCUCCAGGCAGAGGGAAGCGCCCAGAGCAAUACUCUUGCAGGCGGAGGGUUGAAUCUUAACCGUGGUUAAGCUAUGUUCUGGGGGCGCCUUGGUGGCUCAGUCGGUUAAGCAUCCGACUCCGGCUCAGGUCAUGAUCUCACAGUUGGUGAGUUCGAGCCCCGCGUCGGGCUCUAUGCUGACAGCUUGGAGCCUGGAGCCUGCUUCAGAUUCAGUGUCUCCCUUUCUCUCUCUCUGCCCCUCCUCCUCAUGUGCGCGCUCUCUCUCUCUCAAAAAUAAAUACACUUAAAAAAAAAGAAGUUUAAAGAUAUGUUCUGGCCCCUGACCUGCCAUAUUGUAGACCUGUCCU